UACAGAGGGUGCAAGCGUUGUUCGGAAUUAUUGGGCGUAAAGCGCGUGUAGGCGGCUUUGCAAGUCGGGUGUGAAAGCCCUCAGCUCAACUGAGGAAGUGCGCCCGAAACUGCAGAGCUUGAGUGCCGGAGAGGGUGGCGGAAUUCCCCAAGUAGAGGUGAAAUGCGUAGAUAUCGGGAGGAACACCAGUGGCGAAGGCGGCUUUCUGGCCUGUUCUUGACGCUGAGGCGCGAAAGCUAGGGUAGCAAACGGG
rnacentral:rRNA from 1 species